rnacentral:rRNA from 1 species
AACUGCUUAGAGGUUAAGCCCGAUGAACCUAAAUAUCCAAUGUGAAAAAUUCAUCACUAAUGAUAUAUUAUAUUUAAUAUAUAAAUAGUGUGCAAUUUUUUCAUAUAAGGACAUUGUAAUCUGUUAAUAUAAUAUAAAAUUUAUCAUAAGUACUGCUUGGAUAGUUUAUUUUUAUUUAAUUUUUAUAAUUAUAUAUUAAUAAAAUCCAAUUUAAAUGCGGCUACGGAUAAAUUAUUGACAGAUUUUUUAUAUAACGCUUACAUUUUAUAUGUUAUAAUAAAAUAAUAAUUUAUUUAUUAUUUUUAUUAUAUGCGUUUAUAUGAUUAACAAUGCUAUAGAUUUAGGAUACCUUCGGGA